rnacentral:tRNA from 1 species
GGGGGCGUGGCGCAGAUGGUAGCGCGCUCGCUUAGCAAUGAUUUACUAGCAUGCGAGAGGUAGCGGGAUCGAUACCCGUCGCCUCCA